rnacentral:rRNA from 1 species
GAUGAACGCUGGCGGCGUGCCUAAUACAUGCCAGUCGAACGCUUCACUUCGGUGAAGAGUGGCGAACGGGUGAGUAAUACAUAAGUAACCUGGCAUCUACAGGGGGAUAACUGAUGGAAACGUCAGCUAAGACCGCAUAGGUGUAGAGAUCGCAUGAACUCUAUAUGAAAAGUGCUACGGGACUGGUAGAUGAUGGACUUAUGGCGCAUUAGCUUGUUGGUAGGGUAACGGCCUACCAAGGCGACGAUGCGUAGCCGACCUGAGAGGGUGACCGGCCACACUGGGACUGAGACACGGCCCAGACUCCUACGGGAGGCAGCAGUAGGGAAUUUUCGGCAAUGGGGGAAACCCUGACCGAGCAACGCCGCGUGAAGGAAGAAGUAAUUCGUUAUGUAAACUUCUGUCAUAGAGGAAGAACGGUGGAUAUAGGGAAUGAUAUCCAAGUGACGGCACUCUAUAAGAAAGCCACGGCUAACUACGUG